GAUGAACGCUGGCGGCGUGCUUAACACAUGCAAGUCGAACGAACCUUCGGGUUAGUGGCGGACGGGUGAGUAACGCGUGGGAAUCUGCCCUCAGGAGGGGGAUAACGGCUGGAAACGGCCGCUAAUACCCCAUAUGGCGAGAGCUGAAAGGAAAUUCGCCUGAGGAUGAGCCCGCGUCUGAUUAGCUAGUUGGUGGGGUAAAGGCCUACCAAGGCAUCGAUCAGUAGCUGGUCUGAGAGGAUGAUCAGCCACACUGGGACUGAGACACGGCCCAGACUCCUACGGGAGGCAGCAGUGGGGAAUUUUCCGCAAUGGGCGAAAGCCUGACGGAGCAACGCCGCGCGAGGGAUGAAGGCCUCUGGGCUGUAAACCUCUUUUCUCAAGGAAGAAGAAAUGACGGUACUUGAGGAAUAAGCCACGGCUAAUUCCGUGCCAGCCGCCGCAGUAAUAC
rnacentral:rRNA from 1 species